rnacentral:rRNA from 1 species
AGAGUUUGAUCCUGGCUCAGAGUGAACGCUGGCGGCAUGCCUAACACAUGCAAGUCGAACGGUAACAGGCCCGCAAGGGUGCUGACGAGUGGCGGACGGGUGAGGAACACAUCGGAAUUUGCCCAGACGUGGGGGAUAACGUAGGGAAACUUACGCUAAUACCGCAUACGUCCUACGGGAGAAAGCGGGGGAUCGCAAGACUCGCGCGGUUGGAUGAGCCGAUGUCGGAUUAGCUAGUUGGCGGGGUAACGGCCCACCAAGUCUGCGAUCAGUAACUGGUGUGAGAGCACGGCCAGUCACACGGGCACUGAGACACGGGUCCGACUCCUACGGGAGGCAGCAGUAAGGAAUAUUGGUCAAUGGACGAAAGUCUGAACCAGCCAUGCCGCGUGGAGGAUUAAGGCCCUCUGGGUUGUAAACUCCUUUUAUCUGGGAAGAAAUGUUUCGAUUCUUCGGAACUGACGGUACCAGAGGAAUAAGCACCGGCUAACUCCGUGCCAGCAGCCGCGGUAAUACGGAGGGUGCAAGCGUUAUCCGGAUUCACUGGGUUUAAAGGGUGCGUAGGCGGGCAGAUAAGUCAGUGGUGAAAUCUCCGAGCUUAACUCGGAAACUGCCGUUGAUACUAUUUGUCUUGAAUGUUGUGGAGGUAAGCGGAAUAUGUCAUGUAGCGGUGAAAUGCUUAGAUAUGACAUAGAACACCAAUUGCGAAGGCAGCUUCUACACAAUUAUUGACGCUGAGGCACGAAAGCGUGGGGAUCAAACAGGAUUAGAUACCCUGGUAGUCCACGCCCUAAACGAUGUCAACUGGUUGUUGGGAAUUUACUUUCUCAGUAACGAAGCUAACGCGUGAAGUUGACCGCCUGGGGAGUACGGCCGCAAGGUUAAAACUCAAAGGAAUUGACGGGGACCCGCACAAGCGGUGGAUGAUGUGGUUUAAUUCGAUGCAACGCGAAAAACCUUACCCACCUUUGACAUUAUGGAAGAUCGCAGAGACGCGAUUGUGCUCGAAAGAGAGCCAUAACACAGGUGCUGCAUGGCUGUCGUCAGCUCGUGUCGUGAGAUGUUGGGUUAAGUCCCGCAACGAGCGCAACCCUUGUCAUUAGUUGCUACAUUUAGUUGGGCACUCUAAUGAGACUGCCGGUGACAAACCGGAGGAAGGUGGGGAUGACGUCAAGUCCUCAUGGCCCUUAUAGGUGGGGCUACACACGUCAUACAAUGGCUGGUACAAAGGGUGCCAACCCGCGAGGGGGAGCUAAUCCCAUAAAGCCAGUCGUAGUCCGGAUCGCAGUCUGCAACUCGACUGCGUGAAGUCGGAAUCGCUAGUAAUCGUGGAUCAGAAUGUCACGGUGAAUACGUUCCCGGGUCUUGUACACACCGCCCGUCACACCAUGGGAGCGGGUUCUGCCAGAAGUAGGUAGCCUAACCGUAAGGAGGGCGCUUACCACGGCAGGGUUCGUGACUGGGGUGAAGUCGUAACAAGGUAACC